CAAGGCUAUUCCCAUUUGAAACGACGAUGGAAUGGCCGUCUGAUUAGCCGGUUAGUCCCAGCUGUGUGUGGAGUACUCGGCCACUUCCGUUGCCUUUCUUGUCAAGUUAUGGCUCUGGCUGUUCCAUUUCCUCUGCCCCCUUUUUGCUUUCUUCGAGGCCGCCAGCCUUGGAGGAGACUGACCGACUAUAAGCGUGCGAAUGAACGCAGAGGAACUCCCACGACCGAAUCGAUGGCCAUUCUACACAAUUUCUUUUCUUCUAUGAUGAGAACAUUCGAACCAUACAAUGCUGUGCUCUAUGGCAGUCUGAGUUAUAACUGGCAAAUGUUUAAAAAAUAACGAUUUGGUUGGGAUUUUCCUAUAAAGUUAUCUGUGUAGGAUACAGCAUAGGCAACUAUUAAAAACGGCGAUUCAAUAAUGUCCAAUACAGCAUACACGUGAUAGUUUCGAUUCUCAUCUGGGUAUUGUUUGUUUUGUUUUUUUUAAAUUCCAAGUUAUUUUUUGUUUUUUAAGUUUGCCCGUGAUUCGGAAAAUAUUUCAAUUUAAGCUUAGAUAAAACCCAUUCUACCAAUCUAAAGCCAAUACUUAAAAAAAAACAAUAACCAUCGAUUAAAUGCCGAGUCAAACAGAUAACCAGCCUUAAUAAGUCAUAUCGACAGGUAUGAUGAGCGUGAAUACGCGAGAAUGCUGCAACAUCGGACGACUGCAAAAAAUUAUC